rnacentral:ncRNA from 1 species
CACAUCUCAAAGGGGUGUUUUGCGAAAGUGAAACUGAGAUUAUACCCAAUGAACCUGGGCAGGUAAUGCUGCCAAGGGAAUUGAAUAGCCAGCUUUA